GAUGAAGAACGUAGCGAAAUGCGAUAAGUAAUGUGAAUUGCAGAAUUCAGUGAAUCAUCGAAUCUUUGAACGCACCUUGCGCUCUCUGGUAUUCCGGAGAGCAUGCCUGUUUGAGUGUCAUGGUAUUCUCAACCUUCAUAACUUUUUUUUAAGUUAUCGAAAGGCUUGGACUUGGAGGUUGUGCUGGCUACUUGUCUAGUCAGCUCCUCUCAAAUGCAUUAGCGUGAGUGUAACAGAUCGCUUCGGUGUGAUAAUUAUUUGCGCCGUGGUCGUGAAGUGACAUAAGCUCGUGCUUCUAACUGUCCUUCAGUUGAGGACAAACUUACUCUGACAUCUGACCUCAAAUCAGGUAGGACUACCCGCUGAACUUAAGCAUAUCAAUAAGCGGAGGA
rnacentral:misc_RNA from 1 species